rnacentral:rRNA from 1 species
AAUUAACAUUAAGCAAUAAGUGUAAACUUGACUUAGUUAUGGCAACAUAUAGGGCUGGUAAAUCUUGUGCCAGCCACCGCGGUCACACAAGAAGCCCAAAUUAACUGUAAUCCGGCGUAAAGAGUGGCAACAUGCUAUCACCCAACUAAGAUCAAAAUGCACCUAAGCUGUUAUAAGCUCAUGAUGCACUUAAGACCACCCUCAAAACGAUCCUAGCACUAACGAUCAAUUAUACCCACGAAAGCCAGGGCACAAACUGAGAUUAGACACCCCACUAUGCCUGGCCCUAAAUCCAGAUGCUUACUUCACCAAAGUAUCCGCCUGAGAACUACGAGCACAAACGCUUAAAACUCUAAGGACUUGGCGGUGCCCCAAACCCACCUAGAGGAGCCUGUUCUAUAAUCGAUAACCCACGCUACACCCGACCGCCUCUCGCCACAAAGCAGCCUACAUACCGCCGUCGCCAGCUCACCUUCACUGAAAGCCCCAACAGUGAGCACAACAGCCACCCGCUAACAAGACAGGUCAAGGUAUAGCCUAUGAGACGGAAGAAAUGGGCUACAUUUUCUAAAAUAGAAUACCCCAACGAAAGAGGAAAUGAAACCUUUCCCCAGAAGGCGGAUUUAGCAGUAAAGAAAAACAACAAUGUUUUCUUUAAACCAGGCCCUGGGGC